GACGUAGGGGCCAGCGUUGUUCGGAAUUACUGGGUGUAAAGGGUUCGUAGGCGGUGUGGCAAGUCGGGAGUGAAAUCUCUGGGCUCAACCCAGAGUCUGCUUCCGAAACUGCUGUGCUUGAGUGUGGGAGAGGCGCGUGGAAUUGCAGGUGUAGCGGUGAAAUGCGUAGAUAUCUGCAGGAACACCCGUGGCGAAAGCGGCGCGCUGGACCACUACUGACGCUGAGGAACGAAAGCUAGGGGAGCAAACAGGAUUAGACUACCCCGUGUAAGUC
rnacentral:rRNA from 1 species